CCUACGGGUGACAGCAGUGGGGAAUAUUGGACAAUGGGCGCAAGCCUGACCCAGCAACGCCGCGUGAAGGAAGAAGGCUUUCGGGUUGUAAACUUCUUUUGUCAGGGACGAAGCAAGUGACGGUACCUGAAGAAUAAGCCACGGCUAACUACGUGCCAGCAGCCGCGGUAAUACGUAGGUGGCAAGCGUUAUCCGGAAUUACUGGGUGUAAAGGGCGUGUAGGCGGCAAUGUAAGCCAUAUGUGAAAGCUAUGGGCUCAACCCAUAGCCUGCAUUUGAAACUGUCUUUCUUGAGUGCUGGAGAGGCAAGCGGAAUUCCGGGUGUAGCGGUGAAAUGCGUAGAUAUACGGAGGAACACCAGUGGCGAAGGCGGAUUGCUGGACAGUAACUGACGUUGAGGCGCGAAAGCGUGGGGAGCAAACAGGAUUAGAUACCCGUGUAGUC
rnacentral:rRNA from 1 species